rnacentral:rRNA from 1 species
UACGGAGGUUCCAAGCGUUGUUCGGAAUUACUGGGCGUAAAGGGAGCGCAGGCGGACAAGUCAGUCUAAAGUUAAAUUCCGGGGCUCAACCUCGGACUUGCUUCGGAUACUACUUGUCUUGAGUUCGUGAUAGGAAGACGGAAUUCAGGGUGUAGCGGUGAAAUGCACAGAUAUCCUGAGGAACACCGGUGGCGAAAGCGGUCUUCUGGCGCGAAACUGACGCUGAGGCUCGAAAGCGUGGGUAGCAAACGGGAUUAGAUACCCCGGUAGUCCCUGAGCGGGCU